GAUCGCAGGCUGCAACCCGCCUGCGUGAAGUUGGAAUCGCUAGUAAUCGCGGAUCAGAAUGCCGCGGUGAAUACGUUCCCGGGUCUUGUACACACCGCCCGUCACACCAUGGGAGUCGGAAAUGCCCGAAGUCUGUGACCUAACCGUAAGGAAGGAGCAGCCGAAGGCAGGUCGGAUGACUGGGGUGAAGUCGUAACAAGGUACC
rnacentral:rRNA from 1 species